rnacentral:rRNA from 1 species
GAUGAACGCUGGCGGCGUGCCUAAUACAUGCAAGUCGAGCGAACGGACGAGAAGCUUGCUUUUCUGAUGUUAGCGGCGGACGGGUGAGUAACACGUGGAUAACCUACCUAUAAGACUGGGAUAACUUCGGGAAACCGGAGCUAAUACCGGAUAAUAUUUUGAACCGCAUUGUUCAAAAGUGAAAGACGGUCUUGCUGUCACUUAUAGAUGGAUCCGCGCUGCAUUAGCUAGUUGGUAAGGUAACGGCUUACCAAGGCAACGAUGCAUAGCCGACCUGAGAGGGGGAUAGCCAACAAUGGAAAUGAGAAAAGGUACAGACGCCUACGGGAGGCAGCAGUAGGGAAUCUUCCGCAAUGGGCGAAAGCCUGACGGAGCAACGCCGCGUGAGUGAUGAAGGUCUUCGGAUCGUAAAACUCUGUUAUUAGGGAAGAACAUAUGUGUAAGUAACUGUGCACAUCUUGACGGUACCUAAUCAGAAAGCCACGGCUAACUACGUG